ACAAACAAUAGCACUUGUCCUUCAUAGGUUCCAUUGCUUAGCUCCUGGAAGGACCAGUGCCCCAAACUAGUGCUCUGAUUACAAUCCUAGCAACCACUGACUCACAAAGGUGAAGUUAAUGCUUGCUUGUUCUACCACUGAUCCCUAUAAUCAAUUAGAACUUCUUCCACUCAUAAGGACAUGCCUAGGGCAGAAUUUAUAAAGAUAUUUGUGGGAAAUUAGAGUUUCUUUCAACUCAACUAAACCUUACUUCCAGACUGAAUCAUUAUUGCACUAGAGCAAUCCCACAUCAAACCAUGCAGACCAAGAUACACUCGAGAUAAUCAUCUUAACUAUCAAUGUCCUUAUUAAAUACCUCAAUGAAGUCAUUAGUUUGAGCGCCUAACCUCUUAUAGUCAAGGCAUGCUCUCCUGCAGUUAUGCUACCAAUUUUUUUUUCCAUGCUUCUUCUUUUCUUCCUUCUAUCUCUUCCAUCUUCUUCUUUUCUUUGAUUCCUUAUAAUGGAUGUAUAUACAUGUGAAGUUGUGAACCCUAGACCUAGAGUUUGUAUUGUUAUGAAAUUUGAAAGUGUGUUUACCGUGACAUGAUUUAUAUGUGUUUAAAACUCUAAAUUUCUUUUUAGCAUUAUUAUUUAAAUUUCUCGACCUAUUUUAAACGUUGUAUGAUGUUAAUAUGUUGUGCCUAUUAGGUUUUGUUAAUAACUUAAUAUAUUGUGUUGUGGAUUCAAAAUCUUAAAUUGGUAGAUUUUAAAUGAAUUUUGCUCUUUCUUCUAUGUGUGUGUGUGUGUGUGUG
rnacentral:misc_RNA from 1 species